rfam:Schistosoma haematobium scaffold262_3, whole genome shotgun sequence.
AUUUAGCUGAUGAGUCCCAAAUAGGACGAAACUCGCAUCAAACUAGAU